rnacentral:rRNA from 1 species
CCUACGGGCGGCUGCAGUGGGGAAUAUUGGACAAUGGGCGAAAGCCUGAUCCAGCCAUGCCGCGUGUGUGAAGAAGGCCUUCGGGUUGUAAAGCACUUUCAGUGGGGAAGAAAGCCUUGGGGCUAAUACCCUCGAGGAAGGACAUCACCCACAGAAGAAGCACCGGCUAACUCCGUGCCAGCAGCCGCGGUAAUACGGAGGGUGCGAGCGUUAAUCGGAAUUACUGGGCGUAAAGCGCGCGUAGGCGGUCUGAUAAGCCGGUUGUGAAAGCCCCGGGCUCAACCUGGGAACGGCAUCCGGAACUGUCAGGCUAGAGUGCAGGAGAGGAAGGUAGAAUUCCCGGUGUAGCGGUGAAAUGCGUAGAGAUCGGGAGGAAUACCAGUGGCGAAGGCGGCCUUCUGGACUGACACUGACGCUGAGGUGCGAAAGCGUGGGUAGCAAACAGGAUUAGAUACCUUAGUAGUC